AUCUCUUGGCAUUGUAGCAUAACAAAAUGUGCUAUGUAACCUUGUAUAAUCACUUUCUAAAGUCAACCAAGUUGGUAACUGUUGAGCUUUGUACUUUUUGAAAAUACCUCCCUUUUAUUUGACCUUGAGCUUCCAUUCUGCUGCAUUGGGUAAUUCCAGGUUCUAAUAUAAUGAAGUAGAAAAAUAUCUCCUUCUCCAUUUUUUCCACACCAUGAAUAAUUGUAUAUAUUUCUAUCCCUUUCCACUCAGCCUUCGUCUAAGCUUUAAAAAUGUCCUGACUGUUGUAAAAUUUCCUCAUAGAGGAGUUGUUUCAACUCCUUCAAUUUUUAAAACUCUCUUCUGCACCUUUGUCAGAAAAACAUUGCUAUUUUUCCACUUUAAUGACAAUAUUUACAGCAUUACAGUAUGAAGAUCUGCAACAAGGAACACCUUCAUGUAGUUUCUCAGUAUUUUGUGACAUUUUGGACUCUUCAACAAGACAUAUUUAUUGAUGUAUGGUAAAAGAAAUUCUCUGGGUAGCAUAUAUAAAAUGCAGCUAGUUGGAUACCCUGGAGAGUAUAGAUAAACAGCAAAGUGUACUGUAUUGCAAUAAGCUGUUCUGGACUUGUGUGUGUGUGUGUGUGUGUGUGUGUGUGCUGUAAAUUAUGUUUCAUUGCUGAUUAAAAUGAUGUGUGUGCUAUGCUAGGAGGAUGAACUUUAGCUAGGCAUGACACAGCUUCAAAUUAGUCCUCUCAAAGGACACACAUGCUCAGCAAAAUGCUAAACAUCUGUUGUCACACAGUUGUUUUUUUUAAAAGGGAGACAAACUUGUCAACUCAUCACUCUCUUAAAGGGCUCUGGAGGGCUUCUGUUACAGGACAGCUACCUCUGGUGAGCCAUGAAGCCUUCUAUAACAUCACAUUUGCUUUUGCAAGUCUUUAACUUGUAUUUUCAGAUGGUAGUGUACUAAGAAAGGAGAUCAAAACAUUGUUACCUAGUUUAGAGUGGUAAGUUUAGAACAGUGGUUCUUAUCCUUUUCUUCACUACAGACCCCCUUAAAUAGCUUUUAUUGCCACAGACCACCAAGACUUAACACAAGAUGUAAAAUCCUAAGGUGCAUCAAAUAUUUAUUUAAUGUUGCUCAUCAAGGACACAGUUUAAAACAGAAGCUUGAUCUGCAUCAAGCAAACAGGUGAAGCUAUGCCACUGAUUCCCAAAUGUGAGUCCCCAGCUCCUACUGGAUUUCAGUCUGCAGAAGCCCAACUCAGCAUGGCCAAUGAUUUAUGGAUUGUGGGCCUUGCAUUCCAACAAUAUCUGGAGAAUCAGUUUGGGGAAUCACAUGGAGAUUCAGCAUUGCUCAUUUGCUAAUUGCAUAUUAAACUGUCAUUCAAGGCCCAGCUACAGAACCUACUUGGAAAGCUGACACAUUUACUUAACAAACAAACAAAAAAUAAUGAAGCACUUCCAGAAAGUAAAGUGAGAAAUAGACUCUCUCCAGAGUGGAAUCUGCAAACCCCCAGAACAUGAUUCAUACUGUGGGAAACUUCUAGUACAUGAAAGCACAGAGUUUACUUCAAGCACCAACUCGAAACACACAAGAAAGAUUCCUGAAGCCAUCGCACCAAGGCUGAGAUCUAUGUACGGUUACUCAGGAGUAAGCCCCAGUGAAUUCUGUGGAACAUCCUCCUCAGUCAACAGGCAUUAUGUAGGGUUCUUGGGGUCGAUUGAGCAGCACAUUCCUGCAAGAGGAAGAUUAAGAAGCAUAGCAUGGAUCACACGGAAUGUGUUCUGCCUCACCUAAUGAGGUUAGAAAUGAGAUGGACUGGCAGAAUUUUCUAUAAUCAUGCUAUCUGAAAAAUCAAAAGAUAGACCAAGCUAAAUGAUGUCUACUUCAUGCAGAAUGACAUAUUCACCGCUUCAGUUUUUUAAAUAAAAAAAUGAUUGUGAUACUGAAAAUGAUUUAUCGCUUUUUCCUCUAAUUAAAAUAAUUUUAAAUCAUU